CAAGUGAAAAUUAUCUUGGUAAGAUUUCUUGAAAUAAGAUUUUUCAGAUCUAUUGUGUAAAAAAAAGUUCUUAUAUCUCACUCAAAAGUUAGUCUUUGGGUGAUUAUGUCUUAUUUAAAGUGUGAUGACAUAUUUUGACUCGAAAUGAG